GGCCCUGUGGCGUAGUGGAUAUCGCGUCUGUUCUGUUUCAGUUCAGAAACCCCCAGGUUCGAUUCCUGGCAGGGCCA
rnacentral:tRNA from 1 species